rnacentral:tRNA from 1 species
GGGCCCGUCGUCUAGCUGGAUAGGACGCAGGCCUGCGGAGCCUGAGGUCCGGGGUUCAAGUCCCCGCGGGCCCGCCA